rnacentral:rRNA from 1 species
UCUGAUGUGAAAGCCCCGGGCUCAACCCGGGAAGUGCAUUGGAUACUGGGAGACUUGAAUACGGGAGAGGGUAGUGGAAUUCCUAGUGUAGGAGUGAAAUCCGUAGAUAUUAGGAGGAACACCGGUGGCGAAGGCGGCUACCUGGACCGAUAUUGACGCUGAGACGCGAAAGCGUGGGGAGCAAACAGGAUUAGAUACCCUGGUAGUCCACGCCGUAAACGAUGAGAACUAGGUGUCGCGGGUA